rnacentral:rRNA from 1 species
CCUACGGGCCGCAGCAGUGGGGAAUAUUGGACAAUGGGCGAAAGCCUGAUCCAGCAAUGCCGCGUGUGUGAAGAAGGUCUUCGGAUUGUAAAGCACUUUCGACGGGGACGAUGAUGACGGUACCCGUCGAAGAAGCCCCGGCUAACUUCGUGCCAGCAGCCGCGGUAAUACGAAGGCGGCUAGCGUUGCUCGGAAUGACUGGGCGUAAAGGGCGCGUAGGCGGUUUAUGCAGUCAGAUGUGAAAUCCCCGGGCUUAACCUGGGAACUGCAUUUGAGACGCAUAGACUAGAGGUCGAGAGAGGUGUGUGGAAUUCCCAGUGUAGAGGUGAAAUUCGUAGAUAUUGGGAAGAACACCGGUGGCGAAGGCGGCAACCUGGCUCGAUACUGACGCUGAGGCGCGAAAGCGUGGGGAGCAAACAGGAUUAGAUACCCUCGUAGUC